rnacentral:rRNA from 1 species
GGUGAACGCUGGCGGCGUGCCUAAUACAUGCAAGUCGAGCGAACAGACGAGGAGCUUGCUCCUCUGACGUUAGCGGCGGACGGGUGAGUAACACGUGGAUAACCUACCUAUAAGACUGGGAUAACUUCGGGAAACCGGAGCUAAUACCGGAUAAUAUAUUGAACCGCAUGGUUCAAUAGUGAAAGACGGUUUUGCUGUCACUUAUAGAUGGAUCCGCGCCGCAUUAGCUAGUUGGUAAGGUAACGGCUUACCAAGGCAACGAUGCGUAGCCGACCUGAGAGGGUGAUCGGCCACACUGGAACUGAGACACGGUCCAGAAUCCUACGGGAGGCAGCAGUAGGGAAUCUUCCGCAAUGGGCGAAAGCCUGACGGAGCAACGCCGCGUGAGUGAUGAGGUCUUCGGAUCGUAAAACUCUGUUAUUAGGGAAGAACAAAUGUGUAAGUAACUAUGCACGUCUUGACGGUACCUAAUCAGAAAGCCACGGCUAACUACGUG